UAUGCCUACAUUCAAUGUGCUGGUUCAGAUCAUGCUUGUAAGCCUCAGGAGAUAAAACUGAUUAGCAGCGAAUCCAAAUAUUAUGUAGACGAAUCACCACCAUGGUUAUGGGCUAACCCUCCAUGCCUCGUAAUCUGUAAUGUGAUAAAAUUUUAUGAAAAGCUUUAUGCUACAAUAAACCCUAUACAAUAAACCCUAAUAUAAUCAGUAAUAUAUAAAACCAGUUCAAUCUCCUGUUUUCCAAUCUGCAUUAAAUGUUAAGAUCAUUUUCUAAUAACUUUUGCUUUCCAAAUACUUGACAAAUUGUAGACUUUAAAACGUUAUAUACAUUUUUUUCAUAUUUAAUAGGGAAUGCAUUAUUCAGAAUGGGAUAUGUUAAGCUAAAUAAUAAGCCCCAAAUCUCAGUUGCUUGACACAAAUCUAAACAUACUCUAUAUCAUUUUGUUGAAAUAUUUGACAUAUAAUUGUAUAAGUUUAAGGAAUACACCAUGUUCCAUCGUAGCAAUAGCAAGCACUUUUAUCACUUUACAUAGUUCUUUCUUUUUUGGUGUUGGGAAUAAUUUAGGUCUAGUCUCCUAGCAAGCCUGAUGUUUAUAACAUAAUAUUGUUGUCUCUAAUCACUAUACUGUACACUGUGUUUUUUCUCCCACACAUUAUGUGCCAUCAGAGUUUUGGUAGAGGCUCUGCUACUCAUCAUCCUCAUUCUGAGAUCCAGGCUCAUGGAGCAGUUGGUGUUUGUAACAUUGCCAGUAGCCAUGGAGCACAGAGAGCGUGUCAGUUUUGCACUGGAUUUCAGAGCUUACAAAUAGUGUGGAAUACAGCAUAUCUCUGCUCACAUUUCAUUGUUCAAAACCAGUCAACAUAACCAUAGCUAUUUAUAAGCAUGGGAGAAAUAUAGUAUCACCACUUCCUCAGAAAAACCAGAAAUAUUUGAUAAAGAACUCAAAUGACUGAAAACCCUGCUUUUCGUUAACAAAUAUGUGGUUUACUCCCUUUUCUUGUUUGUGAAUACACUCACCCACACCAAAGGAAACAAUCCAUGAAGUCAUAGUUCCAAGUUUCAAGUCCAGAAUGUCCAAAUAAUAUCCAGUCUCUCUUCAUCAAGUCCAGUUAGAGCUCCUUUUGAUCAGCAAAAAGUAAAAAAACAAAUCUACUACACCACUUUUUGACAUAUGAUGUGUCCAUUCUUUGACCAUGUAAUCUGGUUUUUAAGUUAUAGGAAUGUUAGAGGGAUUUGACUAGGCUAGGAAAGGAAAGAAAAACACCUAGAGAUAGACAUGGUGACACAGGGAAAUUUGCAUCCCCUCUUGGUGUAGAGAAGGCACUAUUAGUAUAUAAGGAUAUAUUUUGUUCACAGUUAUUAAUUUUCAAGGUUCAAUUAUCAGUAGUACUAUAUUAUCAAGAAAAAUAUUUAAGAAAUCAACCUAAAAUUUCUCAUUGAAUUUCUAAGUGUAAAUUCUGCAAAAAGAAAUGGAUAAUAAAGAUUUGUUUUUAAUUUUCUUUAAUUUUAUUUGAAACUAAGGCAGAAAUAAUAUGUUAUGAAUUACUUAAAUGCUCACUUUUUUGUUUCAAACACAAUAAAUAAAAUCUAUUAAGAAUAACAUAAAAUUCCACCUAUAAAUAUAACAAAUCAUAGAUGAGGAAUACGUAAUUUCAAAUCAUCCAGCAUCUUUCAUAAAUGACAUGCCUGAAAAUCUAACAAGAAUCUCCCACCUCUAACAGACUUUCAUGUCCCUAUUUAGUUUCAUAUUUGUCUCUGUCAGGCUGAUCCAUGGGUUUAGUACCCAAGUCAUCAAAAUGAGACUUGGCAUUGAUCACUGAAAUUUAUGAUACUUUGAAAGAUCAUACCUGAUUAAUGUCACAGCCACACUUUAUGUGUUUUCAUAGCCAAACUUAUUCACAGUCAGUGCUGGUAGCAUGCUGAAAUUGUGGGAGGACUUUUAGAUAAGUUGGAGAUUGACACAAAUCCUGGGAUUUCUGUAUCUUUAAAAUUCAAAAGUUGCCACAUUUCUUCAAGGAGUACCAAAGAUUUCAAAUAUGUUUCAUCCAAUAGAUACUUCAUUUUAGCCUAAUCCUGCAACCUAAAGGUUAACUUCUGAAAUAUUUUUAAAUCAUUAGUGUCCUGAAAGAUUAAAAAUUCUGGCACUCUUUAUAGACUGUUUCUAUUCACCAACACCACACAUUUUACAUUUUCUUCCUCUUCAAGCUCUACAUUAAUAGAUUUAGCAUCUUUAAGCCCCAGUUUCCUCAUGUGCAAAAUAGGGUACAUUUUCAGAAGGUAGGUAUAAGAGUAAAUGAGAUAGUCAUGUACAUUACACAGCCCAGUGCUAGGCAUUUAGUAGCUAAUAAUUAAUGUUACUUAUUAAUUUGCCCAAAUUAAGUAUCCUAUAAUAUAAACACCAAUAAAUAUGAAAUAAUUCAACUAUAGCCAUCGAAAGUUAUCAAAAUUAUCUCUAACUUUCCCUAUUCUAACAAGAUUUUUUUUUUUUUUUUUUUGGUCCCAGCUUAAGAAGCUGUAUUAUUUAUGGUUUUCUUAUUGCAUCAGUAACUCUAGAGUUAAGUGAUCCCAUGCACAGCUCUCCUAGGUGGUCUUUUUGCCCCCCCCUCCACCACAACCUCAUUCUGGACUGAACUUUGCUCAGUCUAAAACAUCUAAAGAGAUCACCAUCCAGGGUGGUAUGGCCCUAGGCAAAUGAAUGCAAAAACACAACAAUUAAUGAGGAACAAAGUAAAAAUCAAUUAAGUGAAUGUGAACAAAAUUCUUAGAAGUGAUAUUCACAUUCCUUGAAAUUCCCUUUUAUUUUAUCAAUACUGGUUCCCUCAUUUAUGUGUGUCUAGUUAAAAAUUUCCUUCUUUAAACCAUUGCUUCCCACAGUAGUAUUCAGACCUCCCAGGAAUCUUACAUGUGGGAAAUGUGAGGUCUGCCCUCACCUGUCUUCUCUGCCACAUUCCAUAAAAUAUGAGCUCACCAUUCACAGCUUUCAGAAGCUUUUGAAGUUCUCUUCAUGUAUCCUGUCAUGCUAUUAAAUCAUUUUUCUAUGUUAUUUUCCCUAAAUAAACUAUAUUGUUUUGCCUGCAAAACUGUCAAAACACCCAGGAAUGUCUUUAACAAAUUUCAAAGAUACUUAUUUUCAUCACACAGAAACGAACUUCAAGUCCUUCUCAAGUUCACAAACCUAGAGACUGAGGAGGGAGUGAGCACCUGCUAUGGUGUAUGAGUUCAACACCUGGAGUAUUUAUUUUAAGGUUUUCCUUUCUUGUUCAUAUCAGAGAUUUGUAAUUUUACCACAAAUAACUUUUGAGCCUUGUAACCUGACUUAUUUUUGAUGACAGAAACAGGUUACCAGACCCAGUGGAUAAAAGCAUUUUCUAAAAGGGAAACAGAUGAUAAUUCAAAGUGGCAUUUACAUGGACACAAUGGGAACUUAAAAGCAAAACAUUCCUAUUCAUGGCUAUCUUGAUCACCUUGAGAAAGGCUAAAAAUGCAAAUAACUGGAGAUAAGAGCUUUUCCAGACCCUAGUCCCUGGUGCUGGGACAAGUUAAAACUCUAUCCUUCCAAAAAGUGUGCAUUUUAAAAGAAUGGUAUUUUUCUUCAACUUAUGGGAACAAACGUCAAGUGUUGCUGAUGAAAUUUUGUUCUGCCUUGUGUCAGUGACUAUAGAUCCCAUUCCUGAAAACAGAAUCUGCCCAAUUCAACACUGUUUGGUACAUAGCUUACAUUUGAAACUUUUCCAAAGGAGUCAUUACAGUAGACAGUAAACAAAAUGAAAACAUAAAAUAUAAAUUUAGAUUCUGGACAGACCUGGGUUCUGAGUCCAUGUAUUAACUAUUUUGUGCUUAAUAUCUACAAACCUAAUUUUCUUCAUCUUUAAAAUGAAAAUAGUGAUCAUUAUUUUGCAAGUUAGUGUUUAUAAUAUGACAUGAUAGGGAUAGAGUAGGAUAGCUCCAUCUGUGGUCGUAGAAGUCCCAGAGGGGACCACAGAAAGGGAAACCUAGGAAACUUUGGGAGACCACUGCAAGUUAAUGACAGAUCAAAAAGCCAUCAGAAUUUUAUGGAAUGAAGUAGGCUUGUUUAACUGUAAAACCAUAAAUAAAAGCAUGAGCUAUGGCUCAGAUCAUUAAGUGAAAAAUAAAAUGAGGCCUGCUUUCAAGUUCAGCAGGAUAAUGACACUUAGGACCAAGAAUAGAAAUUGAAAGGAAAGAUGACAUUCCAAAGUAGGAGACCCUUGUUUACAGAAAUCUGAGAUAAUUCAACAUAUUUUGGCAUAUGUUACCACCUUUCUUCUGAUUUGAAUAAGCACCAAGACAGUUCCAGCUUGACCUCAUAGGGUUAAAUACUCUCUUAGCCAAUACAAAAUAAUGUAAACCUGACAUCUCCUUAAGAAUGAGUAACAAGGUGGUCUUUUUCCCCUCCCCACUUUCCUUGGAUUUUAAAAAUGUAGCCCACCUAAUCCUCAGGGGCCCACUUGUAUCACUCACAAGUGCCCUAUCUUAAUAAAUCUAUUUCUUGCCUUAGGGCUUUGCCUCUAACUGAAUUCCUUCUGUGCUGAGGCAAAAAGAACCUGAGCCUUGGUAAGUCCAGAGACCAGGUGAAUGAUUCUAAUUAAAAAACCAUUGUUUCAAAUUUCAAUCUGGGUUUAGGUUGGGCUCCAGUCCCAACACAUAGGUUCAAGUUCCAAUCUGGGUUUAGGCUGGGCUGGAGUAAGAGGUGUUUCAGUUUCAAAAGAAACAAUUAAUGUCAUUUUCCUUCUAUCAGCCUUUCCUAUGUCCUUACCUGUCCUUCUCUGUUGUUUUGUCUGUUAUUCUAUCCCUGACUUCAUCAUUUAGAUAUUUUACAAUGGUAAUCCUCAAAACAGACCUCUGAAGUAGAUAAAGUUAUUUCCAUUUUCAACAGAGGAAACAGGAGUUCAUAGAAAUAAAUCAGUCAGAGUCUAGCCAGGAAAAUAAAUACCACUCUAGGUAGUUCAAACAGAGGGAAUUUAAACUUGAGAAUUGUUUACAAAGAUGACGAAAAAGCAGAAAAAUUUCUCAGGCAUAGAUGAGGGAAC
rnacentral:lncRNA from 1 species